CGUAUAUUCCUCCCUCCGAAAAUAUUUGUUAUCAAAAUAGAUAAAAAAGAUGUAUUUAGACAUAUUUUAAUUUUAGAUACAUUAUUUUGUAUCCAUUUUGAUGACAUGUAUUUUUGGAUGGAGGGAGUAUCAU
rnacentral:pre_miRNA from 1 species